rnacentral:rRNA from 1 species
UACGUAGGGUGCAAGCGUUAAUCGGAAUCACUGGGCGUAAAGGGCGUGUAGGCGGGAAGGAAAGUCAGAUGUGAAAUCCCCAGGCUCAACCUGGGAACUGCAUUUGAAACUCCCUUUCUUGAGUACCGGAGAGGAAAGUGGAAUUCCUGGUGUAGAGGUGAAAUUCGUAGAUAUCAGGAGGAACACCAGUGGCGAAGGCGGCUUUCUGGACGGUAACUGACGCUGAGGAGCGAAAGCGUGGGGAGCAAACAGG